rnacentral:rRNA from 1 species
AACGGCAACUAAUACUGUAUACGCCCUACGGGGGAAAGAUUUAUCGCUAUUAGAUGAGCCUAUAUUAGAUUAGCUAGUUGGUAAGGUAAUGGCUUACCAAGGCAAUGAUCUAUAGCUGAUCUGAGAGGAUGAUCAGCCACACUGGAACUGAGAUACGGUCCAGACUCCUACGGGAGGCAGCAGUGGGGAAUAUUGGACAAUGGGCGAAAGCCUGAUCCAGCCAUGCCGCAUGAGUGAASAAGGCCUUUGGGUUGUAAAGCUCUUUCGGUGAGGAAGAUAAUGACGGUACUCACAGAAGAAGUCCUGGCUAACUCCGUGCCAGCAGCCGCGGUAAUACGGAGAGGGCUAGCGUUAUUCGGAAUUAUUGGGCGUAAAGAGCGCGUAGGCUGGUUASUAAGUUAAAAGUGAAAUCCCAAAGCUCAACUUUGGAAUUGCUUUUAAAACUGCUAACCUAGAGAUUGAAAGAGGAUAGAGGAAUUCCUAGUGUAGAGGUGAAAUUCGUAAAUAUUARGAGGAACACCAGUGGCGAAGGCGUCUAUCUGGUUCAAAUCUGACGCUGAGGCGCGAAGGCGUGGGGAGCAAACAGGAUUAGAUACCCUGGUAGUCCACGCUGUAAACAAUGAAUGUUAAAUAUGGGAAGUUUACUUUCUGUAUUACAGCUAACGCGUUAAACAUUCCGCCUGGGGACUACGGUCGCAAGAUUAAAACUCAAAGGAAUUGACGGGGACCCGCACAAGCGGUGGAGCAUGUGGUUUAAUUCGAUGCAACGCGAAAAACCUUACCACUCCUUGACAUGGAAAUCAUACCUAUU